rnacentral:tRNA from 1 species
GGGGUGUGGCUCAGUGGUAGAGUGCUUGCCUGGAAUGCAUUAGGUCCUGGGUUCAAUCCCUUAUACUGCCA